GCUUAUGGCCACACCGCCUGGUUCACGGCUGAUCUCGUUUGAUCUCGGAAGCUAAGAUAGGUUGGGCCUGGUUAGUACUUUGAUGGGAGACCGCCUGGGAAUACCAGGUGCUGUAAGAU
ensembl:rRNA 5S_rRNA 5S ribosomal RNA